GCUUUAGUGCAAGUGAGAGUUUGUUAGAUGUGUGUCCUAAAAGCCAAUUUUGGCUGAUAUAUGCCUUUCUCUAGGGUAUGUUUUGUACUUAAUGGGUAGUCUUUACAACCAAUCAUAUCUUAUGUGUCCAUAAUUUAUCUUAAAAAUAAAUAAAGAUAAUUUUGUAUAUUCUUAAGGUGUUGAAAAUUUGAGACAUAUAUCAUUAGUGGUUAAUUUCUAAAUGCUCCCAAUCAAAAGAUCGUCAUGGAGGAUAGUGAUCAAUCCAUUCA
rnacentral:lncRNA from 1 species